rnacentral:rRNA from 1 species
GAAUCACACCCUCGCAUCUGGAACUACAGCCCCGGACCAGCUCUCCGUACGGGAGGCAUGCGAGAUGUAAUUCUGAUCAAUUGAGAGCAAGCCUGAUUCACGCAUGGCGAGUGUGUAAGAUGCCGUUCGGAUAGUAUAUGCACUUUAGUCCGAAAGAAAUUGCUCUGAUUAAUACGUGCGUUGAUGACGUUCCGAAAGAAUAAGGGCCGGCUACUACGUGCAGCAGCCGCGGUAAUACGUAGGGUCCAAGCUCAAUAGUAAUUAGUGUGAGUAGAGCGUGAGCAGGCUGUUGUGCAAGACCGAUGUGAAAUCCCCCUCGCUCAACUUGGGACUUGCAUUGGUGACUGCACUGGCUAGAGUGUGUCAGAGGGGGGUAGAAUUCCACGUGUGGCAGUGAAAUGCGUAGAGAUGUGGACGAAUACCGAUGGCGAAGGCAGCUCCUUGGGAUAACACUGACGCUCAUGCAAGAAAGCGUGGGGAGCAAACAGGAUUAGCUACCUUGGUAGUCCACGCCAUAAACGAUGUCAACUAGUUGUUGGGGAUUCAUUUCCUUAGUAACGUAGCUAACGCGUGAAGUUGACCGCCUGGGGAGUACGGUCGCAAGAUUAAAACUCAAAGGAAUUGACGGGGACCCGCACAAGCGGUGGAUGAUGUGGAUUAAUUCGAUGCAACGCGAAAAACCUUACCUACCCUUGACAUGCCACUAACGAAGCAGAGAUGCAUUAGGUGCUCGAAAGAGAAAGUGGACACAGGUGCUGCAUGGCUGUCGUCAGCUCGUGUCGUGAGAUGUUGGGUUAAGUCCCGCAACGAGCGCAACCCUUGUCUCUAGUUGCUACGAAAGGGCACUCUAGAGAGACUGCCGGUGACAAACCGGAGGAAGGUGGGGAUGACGUCAAGUCCUCAUGGCCCUUAUGGGUAGGGCUUCACACGUCAUACAAUGGUGCAUACAGAGGGUUGCCAAGCCGCGAGGUGGAGCUAAUCCCAGAAAAUGCAUCGUAGUCCGGAUCGUAGUCUGCAACUCGACUACGUGAAGCUGGAAUCGCUAGUAAUCGCGGAUCAGCAUGCCGCGGUGAAUACGUUCCCGGGUCUUUACACACCGCCCGUCACACCAUGGGAGUGGGAACACCAGAAGUAGUUUGCGUAACCUCAAGGAAGAAGUUCGUUCCCAAGGAUAAGAAAGUC